rnacentral:lncRNA from 1 species
GGAUGUUGAGAGUCCUGCAACAAGGAUACAACAUGUGGUUUUGUAACACUCUAAAAACGUUGAAGAUGGCAAAAUGCAAAGUUGGGUUUGAAUGAGGACAGAAAUGGUGCAAGUUGUUGUUUGUUGUGAUACAUGAUAGUGGCUAAUUUUAUGGAUGAUUUUGCAUAGAUGGUCCUUCUAGUGUGUUGAACUUUGUGGAUUUAGUACUUUGGGAAACAAAGACGGUACGUGCGGUGCGGUGUGGUGCGGUGCGGGGUAACUUUUAUGACUGUGGCAUUGCAUAGUCGCGAGUAGGGGUGUUCAUCAUUGAAUCGAAUAAUGAAUUUUCGAAUAAUUUUUAUUUUUGCUUGAAUUUGAAUUCGAUCAAAAGCUAGUCAAUUCGAUUAAAAAUUUGAAUUCGGAUAAAUUCGUUUUGAUUCAAAUUCAUUUAAAAUACGUAAAUUUGUUAUGG